rnacentral:rRNA from 1 species
UGAGGAAUAUUGGUCAAUGGGCGAGAGCCUGAACCAGCCAAGUCGCGUGAAGGAAGAAGGAUCUAUGGUUCGUAAACUUCUUUUGCAGGGGAAUAAAGUGCAGGACGUGUCCUGUUUUGUAUGUACCCUGAGAAUAAGGAUCGGCUAACUCCGUG